ACAGGGAGCGCACAAGUGCGUGUUAAAAUGACCAUUUGACAUUUACUCAGAAGUGCUUGCCAACGCGCUGGCAUGCACACUGGCGUAUGUACAAAAUUCAAACAAUGAAAAACGUCACAUAUAGACGAGCUUCCGAAUAGUGCCUGAUUGAUCACAUGACUACAACACACACACACAGUAUUAAAUUAAUUUGUCAGUACUUGCCAGAAAUUCCUGCUACUCUUUCAGUACCUCUUGCCAGCCUCCCUACGGAUUUUCAUCCUCACCAUCAUCAUUCAUGGAUUUUCCCUCGCAAACAAAUGUUAUGAUGGUCCCUGCAUCUUGUUGGGAAACACUCUUUCCAGGUACACCACUCAGAGCUGGAAAUAACUUUAUCAGAGCGUGUAUCGCAAGACUUGAAGAAAAUGUCGGAGCAAGGCUCAUUCCUGUCCACGUAGAGGCUCUUGAUCUCUGAUUGGUCCAGUUGGAGGUCAAAGUUUGUGUCCAGGCGAGAGAACAUCCAUCCGAGAGGAUCUUUGCAUACAGGUAAUGCCCCAACCUCAAAU